CGUGGGCGAUUGGGUCCGGCUGCACCGGUCUAAGAAGCUCUCUCUCUUCUUAUGUGAUUAGUGAUAGUGCGGGCUCUUAGGUAGACCAGAUGCUGCCUGCUGCCCAUGGCUUUCAGGGAUGUCAAUGCAAGAAGACAUAUUGGACUUCAGCAGCUCUCAUCCUUGGCGUUAGCUGGAAGAACGUUAUUGGGGCCAAUGAGAUCGUGUAAAUUCAUUGUGGAUGAAAGCACCAACCAAAGCACAUUGAUUUGUUCUGCAGUUAGACUGAUUGAAAGUUUGGAUUUAACUUGUGCUGCCGGACAGCUUCUUAAUGAAACCAUUCAGGCACAAAACAAGGAGUUUGGGACUGGGAUGAGUACCCUGUUGUUUCUCGUUGGUGCAUGGAGCAAUGCCGUACUGGAAUGUCUCCAGCAGAAUGUUCCUGUUUCAGCAAUAGUAUCUGUGAUGUCUGAGGGGUUGAACUCUUGCUGUGAGAGAGUCCAGUGUCUUCAAAUAUCAAUACAUGAUGCAAAUAAAGAGCUGUGUUCUUGCAGUGUUAGGCCAAAUGCUUUUAAAAAUACAACUUGCCAAAUUGGAUGUGACAGUCUUCUAAAUCCUGAGAUUUUCCUGUACGUUCAGAAAGAUAUUUCUGCACCAGAAGAAGCAAUUCCAAGAAAUUCUUGUUCCCAUCAGGAAGGUGUUUCUAAUUGUAACAAGCGCCUGCUUUCACCUUUGGCUGGCUUUGAUGAAAUAGCUUCUCUUGUCAAACCAGCGGGUGAGAAAAGUACACCCAAGAUCUCUGGCAGUGGUGUUAUCACAUCCAGCUGUAACAAACAAAAGUUAACUCACAGCAGAUACUUCAGCGCUUUAGGAAAAAGCCAUUUUUCAAGUCGGCAAGGUAAUUUUCAGGGAUGCCACUCAGGACCGGCAGUGGAUCCAUGUGAAUGUUAUGGUUUAGAACACCUGGUGAUGGCUCUGAGCCAUGGAAAUCAGACUAGUGUGAAACUGCUGCAAAGCAUUGUUGCACAUCAACAGGAGAAGGCAGAAUGCAGUAUUUCUUCCCAGUUUAAUAUUGCAGAAAUUGUAACAUGCUGUUUACUGGGCCUGCCUGAAAGCUAUGCUUGUAUCUCCCCUGGCUUUGUCACGCUUGUGUCACCAGAACAAGCCACAGUUAUCAAACGCUUUGAAGACAAACUCCUUCGGAUUCUGCUAAUGGAUGGUGACCUAACUGAGCAAUAUCGUCACUUAGGUUUUAGUAGACCGUGUAAUGUAAGGACCAUAUUGGAGCAUCCCAGCCUGCUGGAAGGCAGAGCAGGAGACUUGUGGUUAAGCAGGAUGUUAGAGAUUCUGAUUAGUUUUGAAGUGAACUUGGUUUUGGUCAAAGGAAAUGUGUGUGAAAACUUAAUGGAAAGAUGCAUAGCAAACAGUAUAUUGGUAAUUGGUUCUGUGACUCGGGAUGUGCUGUGUGCCUUUGGGGAGGUCACCAGUGCCCAGUCGGUGACAUACCUCACCCAGCUGAAUGCUUCUUAUGUGGGGAGUGGGGCCCAGGUGGGGCUGUGGAAGGCCUGCGAUGGGCGUGCAGUGGACCUGGGUGAGCUUGUGCCAGUCAGGAUAAAAGCGCAAGGAAUGCCUCUGCUCACGGCCGUGCUUACCACUACUGUACCUUCAAAGAUGCAACUCAUUGAAGACCAGUUCUGGACUUCAGCGUAUCGACUCCAUCAUGCCGUAAAUGACAAGAAGGUUUUUCUUGGUGGUGGAGCAGUGGAGCUCUUGUGCCUUAGUCACAUUCAGAUGCUUGCAGAAAAGCCUUUACAGCCAGCAAAUAAAAAUGCUGUUAAAGAGUUUCACAAUCCUUGGCUGACAGCAUCUGCGACAGAGUAUAAAUCAGUUGUGCUCCAAGCGUUAGCGAGCGGCUGGAAGCAGUAUAUUUCAGUGGUUAUGUAUAACAUGGCAAAAGCUGCAUCAGAGUUGGAAGCGUGUACCUCAGUUGAUCAUCACCUCAAAAAAGCAGCUGAGUGUGGCUCUCCCUCAGCAUAUAUAUUGAAAGAGUUUAGAAGAGGCAAUCUGCUCAGAGGUAGUUCUGGUACCCUUGCUGACUAUGGAGAGGAUUUAAAGGUUUACGAUAACGUUGCAGCCAAGACAGAGGCAUGGCGGAGAGCUCUAGACUUGGUGCUGCUAGUGCUUCAAACAGAUGCCGAAAUUAUCACAGGUCCCCAAAGGAAUCAGCUAUUGAACUCACAUGUGUCAAGUGAAUUUAUGUUUUUAUAGGACUUGCAGGUUUUAUUUAUAAGUCCAUGAGUGGAAGAAGUCCGAGUGCAACCUACAUUUCUUCAUAGCAUAUAAAGCAAACAUCUAGACGUGAUUACGACUUCAGAGUGUAACAACAGAAAUCAGAAUGCGAGACAGUCACAAGUGUUUGUUUUAGAACAAAUGUUCUCAGCAUGUGUCUUGCCCAGUGACGUUGAGAAGUUUCCCUGCUAAGGCUUUCUGUAGUGGAUCAAAGUAACUGGGGAUCUUGCAGCAGGCCAGCAGCAAGAAGCAGCCUUCUGCAAUGAAGAGGGUUGGUUUCCCAUAAUCAACUCAAGCAGGACAUCUAGAGGAGUUCUGCCAACCCUACCAGGUUGAAGUCAAUGACAGCCAUUCAACAACAACAGAGCAGGAAUUACAGCUAAAUUACUCCCAGUACCACUCCUUUUCAUAUGCUGAGAUCAAUAGGCGAGAUUCAGACAUGAGGCCCACACAGAUGGUGCGAGUGACUAACCGAUGCCUCGAUUAUGGACAGCCUACACACUGAUGUCAUAAGAAAAGCCUAAUACCUCUGAGGUGUUCCGAGUAUGAUGCUACUGAGGAUCUCUAGAAAUUGGAUUAUUACAUCUUGAAUAAAGGCAGUAUUUGGAUAUACAGAUGGCCCACAGUUAUCUGCCAUUGGAUAGACGAUCUGCCUUGUUUAUGAAGUG